rnacentral:rRNA from 1 species
AUUGAACGCUGGCGGCAUGCCUUACACAUGCAAGUCGAACGGUAACAGGUCUUCGGAUGCUGACGAGUGGCGAACGGGUGAGUAAUACAUCGGAACGUGCCCGAGAGUGGGGGAUAACGAGGCGAAAGCUUUGCUAAUACCGCAUACGAUCUCAGGAUGAAAGCAGGGGACCGCAAGGCCUUGCGCUCACGGAGCGGCCGAUGGCAGAUUAGGUAGUUGGUGGGAUAAAAGCUUACCAAGCCGACGAUCUGUAGCUGGUCUGAGAGGACGACCAGCCACACUGGGGCUGGGACACGGCCCAGACUCCUACGGGAGGCAGCAGUGGGGAAUUUUGGACAAUGGGCGCAAGCCUGAUCCAGCCAUGCCGCGUGCAGGAUGAAGGCCUUCGGGUUGUAAACUGCUUUUGUACGGAACGAAAAGACUCCUUCUAAUAAAGGGGGUCCAUGACGGUACCGUAAGAAUAAGCACCGGCUAACUACGUGCCAGCAGCCGCAGUAACAC